UACGGAGGAUCCAAGCGUUAUCCGGAAUUACUGGGUUUGAAGGGUGCGUAGGCGGGUUGAUAAGUUAGUGGUGAAAGUCUGCAGCUCAACUGUAGAAUUGCCAUUAAUACUGUUAACCUUGAGUAAUUAUGAAGUGGUUAGAAUAUGUAGUGUAGCGGUGAAAUGCAUAGAUAUUACAUAGAAUACCGAUUGCGAAGGCAGAUCACUAAUAAUUUACUGACGCUGAGGGACGAAAGCGUAGGUAGCGAACAGG
rnacentral:misc_RNA from 1 species